UUUCUCAAAAUAUUUGGUGUGGUUUUUCUCAUUCUGUAUUGGUCCUUCUAUAGUCCUUUUUAGUUGGUUUAGAAAUAUAUUUGGUUUGAUUACAGAUUUAAGUGAUAUUACCAAUGAAUAUUUCUCAAAUCUAACUGUUCAUCAGACCCUGAUAUUGCCUUUUGUGCUUGUAAUUUUAGAUAUUAGAACUAAAGAAUAAUUUCUAUAUAACGUUAAACAAUAGUAGUGCAGUAUGUUUUUGUUCUACCUUUUGCAAAUGUACUGUGAAACAUGCCAUUGUAUUGUGAAACCUCUAGUUUUUCUUGAUAUGAGUUAACUAUGGAAUAUUAUUUUCAUUUUCUCAUAUAUAUGUAUUUGGUGAUGCAUUUAUUGCAGACAAUUGAGAUUCUUUUCAGCAAAAGGAUAUUCUUAGAUAUAGAGGUUUGAGUUUUUGUUGGAUGCAUGGUCUAGGAUUAGCUGAAUUCAUGCAUAGUGACGACUUGUUUGAGCUAACUGUUGAUCUUAAAGUGUGCAUUCUAUCUUUAUUUUGUUCUAUUUGUAUUUUGUUAGAUUUCUGGUGUAGUAUGAUAAGUGCGGUAUUUUAUUUGAUUGUUAUUGAUAAACUUUCUGUUUGGUGGGAUAUAUAUUUAUAUUGAAUUUUAAAUUUUUUAUAUUUUUCA